AUUGAACGCUGGCGGCAUGCCUUACACAUGCAAGUCGAACGGUAACAGGUCUUCGGAUGCUGACGAGUGGCGAACGGGUGAGUAAUGCAUCGGAACGUGCCCGAUCGUGGGGGAUAACGAAGCGAAAGCUUUGCUAAUACCGCAUACGAUCUACGGAUGAAAGCAGGGGACCGCAAGGCCUUGCGCGAACGGAGCGGCCGAUGGCAGAUUAGGUAGUUGGUGGGAUAAAAGCUUACCAAGCCGACGAUCUGUAGCUGGUCUGAGAGGACGACCAGCCACACUGGGACUGAGACACGGCCCAGACUCCUACGGGAGGCAGCAGUGGGGAAUUUUGGACAAUGGGCGAAAGCCUGAUCCAGCCAUGCCGCGUGCAGGAUGAAGGCCUUCGGGUUGUAAACUGCUUUUGUACGGAACGAAAAGACUCUGGUUAAUACCUGGGGUCCAUGACGGUACCGUAAGAAUAAGCACCGGCUAACUACGUG
rnacentral:rRNA from 1 species